rnacentral:rRNA from 1 species
GGGACACGUGGUAUCCUGUCUGAAUAUGGGGGGACCAUCCUCCAAGGCUAAAUACUCCUGACUGACCGAUAGUGAACCAGUACCGUGAGGGAAAGGCGAAAAGAACCCCGGCGAGGGGAGUGAAAAAGAACCUGAAACCGUGUACGUACAAGCAGUGGGAGCACGCUUAGGCGUGUGACUGCGUACCUUUUGUAUAAUGGGUCAGCGACUUAUAUUCUGUAGCAAGGUUAACCGAAUAGGGGAGCCGAAGGGAAACCGAGUCUUAACUGGGCGUUAAGUUGCAGGGUAUAGACCCGAAACCCGGUGAUCUAGCCAUGGGCAGGUUGAAGGUUGGGUAACACUAACUGGAGGACCGAACCGACUAAUGUUGAAAAAUUAGCGGAUGACUUGUGGCUGGGGGUGAAAGGCCAAUCAAACCGGGAGAUAGCUGGUUCUCCCCGAAAGCUAUUUAGGUAGCGCCUCGUGAAUUCAUCUCCGGGGGUAGAGCACUGUUUCGGCAAGGGGGUCAUCCCGACUUACCAACCCGAUGCAAACUGCGAAUACCGGAGAAUGUUAUCACGGGAGACACACGGCGGGUGCUAACGUCCGUCGUGAAGAGGGAAACAACCCAGACCGCCAGCUAAGGUCCCAAAGUCAUGGUUAAGUGGGAAACGAUGUGGGAAGGCCCAGACAGCCAGGAUGUUGGCUUAGAAGCAGCCAUCAUUUAAAGAAAGCGUAAUAGCUCACUGGUCGAGUCGGCCUGCGCGGAAGAUGUAACGGGGCUAAACCAUGCACCGAAGCUGCGGCAGCGACGCUUAUGCGUUGUUGGGUAGGGGAGCGUUCUGUAAGCCUGCGAAGGUGUGCUGUGAGGCAUGCUGGAGGUAUCAGAAGUGCGAAUGCUGACAUAAGUAACGAUAAAGCGGGUGAAAAGCCCGCUCGCCGGAAGACCAAGGGUUCCUGUCCAACGUUAAUCGGGGCAGGGUGAGUCGACCCCUAAGGCGAGGCCGAAAGGCGUAGUCGAUGGGAAACAGGUUAAUAUUCCUGUACUUGGUGUUACUGCGAAGGGGGGACGGAGAAGGCUAUGUUGGCCGGGCGACGGUUGUCCCGGUUUAAGCGUGUAGGCUGGUUUUCCAGGCAAAUCCGGAAAAUCAAGGCUGAGGCGUGAUGACGAGGCACUACGGUGCUGAAGCAACAAAUGCCCUGCUUCCAGGAAAAGCCUCUAAGCAUCAGGUAACAUCAAAUCGUACCCCAAACCGACACAGGUGGUCAGGUAGAGAAUACCAAGGCGCUUGAGAGAACUCGGGUGAAGGAACUAGGCAAAAUGGUGCCGUAACUUCGGGAGAAGGCACGCUGAUAUGUAGGUGAAGUCCCUCGCGGAUGGAGCUGAAAUCAGUCGAAGAUACCAGCUGGCUGCAACUGUUUAUUAAAAACACAGCACUGUGCAAACACGAAAGUGGACGUAUACGGUGUGACGCCUGCCCGGUGCCGGAAGGUUAAUUGAUGGGGUCAGCGCAAGCGAAGCUCUUGAUCGAAGCCCCGGUAAACGGCGGCCGUAACUAUAACGGUCCUAAGGUAGCGAAAUUCCUUGUCGGGUAAGUUCCGACCUGCACGAAUGGCGUAAUGAUGGCCAGGCUGUCUCCACCCGAGACUCAGUGAAAUUGAACUCGCUGUGAAGAUGCAGUGUACCCGCGGCAAGACGGAAAGACCCCGUGAACCUUUACUAUAGCUUGACACUGAACAUUGAGCCUUGAUGUGUAGGAUAGGUGGGAGGCUUUGAAGUGUGGACGCCAGUCUGCAUGGAGCCGACCUUGAAAUACCACCCUUUAAUGUUUGAUGUUCUAACGUUGACCCGUGAUCCGGGUUGCGGACAGUGUCUGGUGGGUAGUUUGACUGGGGCGGUCUCCUCCUAAAGAGUAACGGAGGAGCACGAAGGUUGGCUAAUCCUGGUCGGACAUCAGGAGGUUAGUGCAAUGGCAUAAGCCAGCUUGACUGCGAGCGUGACGGCGCGAGCAGGUGCGAAAGCAGGUCAUAGUGAUCCGGUGGUUCUGAAUGGAAGGGCCAUCGCUCAACGGAUAAAAGGUACUCCGGGGAUAACAGGCUGAUACCGCCCAAGAGUUCAUAUCGACGGCGGUGUUUGGCACCUCGAUGUCGGCUCAUCACAUCCUGGGGCUGAAGUAGGUCCCAAGGGUAUGGCUGUUCGCCAUUUAAAGUGGUACGCGAGCUGGGUUUAGAACGUCGUGAGACAGUUCGGUCCCUAUCUGCCGUGGGCGCUGGAGAACUGAGGGGGGCUGCUCCUAGUACGAGAGGACCGGAGUGGACGCAUCACUGGUGUUCGGGUUGUCAUGCCAAUGGCACUGCCCGGUAGCUAAAUGCGGAAGAGAUAAGUGCUGAAAGCAUCUAAGCACGAAACUUGCCCCGAGAUGAGUUCUCCCUGACUCCUUGAGAGUCCUGAAGGAACGUUGAAGACGACGACGUUGAUAGGCCGGGUGUGUAAGCGCAGCGAUGCGUUGAGCUAACCGGUACUAAUGAACCGUGAG